rnacentral:lncRNA from 1 species
CAGUUCUGGGCAAACCAGGACAGUUGGUCACCCUAGAGGAGUCAGAGCCAAGGUGAAAAACAAACUCCACUUGGUCCCCAGGCCUGUUGCUCUCGCCUUCAUACCAUGCCGGCUGCCGGUUUCCGGGCCUCACAAGGUCCUCACACACAGGUGGAGCUCCUUACCCAUGGUGACACAAAUAGGAAGCUGGGGAGGAAGAAUUCAAACCCAGGACUGCCUGUCUUCAGAAUCUGUGUUUUCAUCAUAAGGCCGCCUCUACAGAAGCACCUUCCUGUUUAUACACGAUGGUGGAAAGUUCCAGAAUGUCUUCAGCCCCGUGGUACUGCUGCAAAUGGGCAAGGACAGCUAGAUGCAAGAUGAAAAUGGGAGCCCGCUGUGUGCCAAUGGCGCAGCAAGCGACAGCAGACACGCAAGCUGUGUGCAUCUCCUCUGCUCAUGGGCUCUCUCUAUGGCCCCACUGCCUUCACUUUCAAAACGGAAGAAACCGUGUCAGCCUGAAGGUUCUGGAGAGCCCCACCCCCACCAGCCUCUGCCAACACUCCUGGACGAUAAAUAAUAGCUGCUCCAGUGUUCAAGCCACUUGCAGGGACUUGGCACGAGCACGCCAUGAUUUCAGAGGUCCUCUGAGCAGCGUAGGUUCCCCUGAAUUCUGGGAGAUGGAACUUACUGCCUGUGUUUCUGAGCAGAGCCGUUGCUAGAGGGAGG